UCGAAAGCCUAUCUCAGUUCGGAUUGGAGGCUGAAACUCGCCUCCAUGAAGUUGGAUUCGCUAGUAAUCGCGCAUCAGCCAUGGCGCGGUGAAUACGUUCCCGGGCCUUGUACACACCGCCCGUCAAGCCAUGGGAGUUGGGGGUGCCUGAAGUUCGUGACCGCAAGGAGCGACCUAGGGCAAAACUAAUGACUGGGGCUAAGUCGUAACAAGGUAUC
rnacentral:rRNA from 1 species